rnacentral:rRNA from 1 species
AAUCAACGCUGGCGGCGUGCCUAACACAUGCAAGUCGAACGCGAAAGCCCCUUCGGGGGCAAGUAGAGUGGCGUCCGGGUGAGUAACACGUGGGUAAUCUACCUCCGGGUGGGGAAUAACUCGCCGAAAGGUGGGCUAAUACCGCAUAAUGCAGCGGCACCGAAUGGUGAUUAGUUGUUAAAGCGGGGGACCUUAGGGCCUCGCGUCUGGAGAGGAGCCUGCGGCAGAUUAGCUUGUUGGAGGUAAUGGCCUACCAAGCUGCGAUCUGUAGCUGGUCUGAGAGGACGGCCAGCCACACUGGCACUGACACACGGGCCAGACUCCUACGGGAGGCAGCAGUGGGGAAUUUUGGGCAAUGGGCGAAAGCCUGACCCAGCAACGCCGCGUGAAGGAGGAAAUCCUUACGGGAU